AUUGAACGCUGGCGGCAGGCCUAACACAUGCAAGUCGAGCGGAGCGGCGGACGGGUGAGUAAUACCUAGGAAUCUGCCUGGUAGUGGGGGAUAACGUUCGGAAACGGACGCGAAUACCGCAUACUAUCAGAUGAGCCUAGGUCGGAUUAGCUAGUGGGUGACGUAAUGGCUCACCAGGGCUACGAUCCGUAAAUGGUCUGAGAUGAUGAUCAGUCAAACUGGAACUGAGACACGGUCCAGACUCCUACGUGAGGCAGCAGUGGGGGAUUUUGAACCAUGGGCGAAAGCCUGAUCCAGCCAUGCCGCGUGUGUGAAGAAGGUCUUCAGAUUGUAAAGCACUUUAAGUUGGGAGGCGUUACCGACAGAAUAAGCACCGGCUAACUCUGUGCCAGCAGCCGCGGUAAUUC
rnacentral:rRNA from 1 species